AUUGAACGCUGGCGGCAGGCCUAACACAUGCAAGUCGAGCGGGGUUUUCGGACCUAGCGGCGGACGGGUGAGUAACGCGUAGGAAGCUACCCGAUAGAGGGGGAUACCGGUUGGAAACGACUGUUAAUACCGCAUAAUGUCUACGGACCAAAGUGUGGGACCUUCGGGCCACAUGCUAUCGGAUGCGCCUACGUGGGAUUAGCUAGUUGGUGAGGUAAUGGCUCACCAAGGCGACGAUCCCUAGCUGGUUUGAGAGGAUGGUCAGCCACACUGGAACGGAGACACGGUCCAGACUCCUACGGGAGGCAGCAGUGGGGAAUAUUGGACAAUGGGCGCAAGCCUGAUCCAGCCAUGCCGCGUGUGUGAAGAAGGCCUUCGGGUUGUAAAGCACUUUCAGUAGGGAGGAAGGGUUAAGUGUUAAUAGUACUUAACUUUGACGUUACCUACAGAAGAAGCACCGGCUAACUCUGUGCCAGCCGCCGCAGUAACAC
rnacentral:rRNA from 1 species